CCCAGCUCUGGGCCCCAGGAAACAGUAUCUGCACCAUGGCCUUGACUGUCCUCCUCAUCAUGCUGCUCGCUCUUAGCAAAGGGGCCAGUUCCCAGGCUGUGGUUACUCAGGAGCCAUCUCUGACCGUGAUCCCAGGAGGAACAGUCACCCUGACCUGCAGCUCCAGCACAGGGGCGGUCACUACUGGGCACUAUCCACACUGGUUCCAGCAGAAAUCUGGCCAGCCUCCCAGGCAGCUCAUCUAUGAUACCAACAAUCUUGUAUCAGGUGUCCCUGCCCGGUUCUCAGGGUCCCUCCUUGGGCACAAAGCUGCCCUCACCAUUGAGGGGGCCCAGCCAGAGGAUGAGGCUGACUAUUACUGUUCCUUUUGGUACAACAGUGCAACUCAGAGUCACAGUGAUUGA